rnacentral:sRNA from 1 species
CAUUGGCUUUCGUAGGAACGAGUUAGCAAAGCAUUUCACGAAUAAGACGCUUCUGUUGUUGAUAGAUAGUAGUAAACCGUCCUGUUUUUGAUUCCGCGAGUCUUUUGUUUCCGCACCACGCUGAUCAGGGGUCAUUCCGACUGGCUGACGGCACAUUUAAAAUAUUGAUUUCAGGAAGUUUAUAUAUGUCUACUACUACCGGUACUGUUAAGUUUUUCAACGAAGCAAAAGGUUUUGGUUUCAUCACUCGUGAAAGCGGCCCGGACGUGUUCGUUCACUACAGCGCUAUCCAGGGCGGUGGCUUCAAGACUCUGGCAGAAGGCCAGCAGGUUGAAUUCACUGUAACUGACGGCCAGAAAGGUCCUCAGGCUGAGAACGUUGUUGCUCUGUAACUAGCAGACCAAACGUUUUGAAAAGAAAGGCAGCUUUGGCUGCCUUUUUUGUU